rnacentral:lncRNA from 1 species
UCCUUUUAUUAUUAUAGACCCCUUCCAAGUUGAUCAUUUCAUUUACAUCAAAUGGAUUCCAAGUUAAUCAUCUUAUUUUCUCAUUAUUUGUGUGGAUCCCAUGUUGAUUUUUUUAUUUAUUUAGUUUGCGGCAUUAUUUGAUACAAUGUUGUGUUUUUAAAAAAGCCUUCUUUAUUAGUGAUGUCAUUCUCUCUUUUUUUAUAUAUAUAAACUUACUAUAUAAAAUCAAAAGAAAAUGAGUUCUUAAAUUCUUUACAACCUGAUUUUGACCCUUUUUUUAGCAUAUUUUUUAUAAAAUAAUAAUAACAAAAGAUUAAGGGUUAAAUAACAACUAAGUAAAAAAGGAAGGAUAUAUAUGUAUUUGAAAACAUAAUCAAUGGGGCCUAGGUUUAGAAUAAACAAAAUCAGAGAAGGGAGGAGAUAAAAAACAAAAAACUAAGGAGAGAUCAUAUGAGAAGGGGAGGAAAAUUCUAAGGAAAAAUAGAUAAAAUAGGAAGAACAAAUUUGGCUAGAAUAAAAGAGAGAAAGUUAUAAGGAAUCGGUGGAGGAGGGAAAAAAUUUGGAGAGAACAAGUAAUAAAAAGAGACUAGAAAAAGACAUUAACAAAGGAAAAAAAACAUGAGAAAUAAUACCUUUUAAUUUCCGCUCCUCUUCCAAAAAAAAAAAAAAAAUCAACCCAAACCGUCACUUUUUUUUAUUUUUUUAUUUUCUUUUUAGCCAGAAUCUAUCUAGCCACACUGCCACAGACCCCAUCUUUUCCACCUCACACAGGUGCCACGCUCUGUCUUCAACCCCGCCAUCAUGUUUGCAAAGAAGUAGCAACAGCCACCACCAGACCAGAAGCAAGCCACCAUAAAUCUAUCUCGUUCCUCUCCAAUACUAACUGACAGCCUCUCUCCCAACACCAGCACGAAGCACCCAUCUUCUCCACACCACAACACAACCCUUUAAUGACGACAGCAGCACACAAGCAACACCUUUUCUCCUCCAUUCACAUAACCAACAACGGCAACACAAUCAUUAGCCUUUCCUCCUCCAUUCUCCGGUCACAAACCAGCCUUGAUCAAAGCAUAAACACAGUCGCAGAUCUGCCCAAAUGAACCCAGCAAUAAUCACGAUCGUGUUCCACCAAGAAUGAGAUCUUUUCUGCCUCGUUUUUUGUAGGUUUCGGUAGAGGAGCAUGGAACACAUACGUCGUCUCGAUCACCAGCCCUUGCUUCACGCAUUGCCUGCUGUCCCGAGUGUGACCUCCACAAACCGUCACUGCCGAGCUCAGUUCCAGCAGCUUUCGACCGACUCCAAUGGCUCUCGAAAGGUCACCUUCAAACCCCAACGCGCUAAUUUAUUUGUUUUGGAUAAUUUGCAAUAUAUUUGUUGUUUUUUUUUAUAUUUUGUGGGUGUGUGUUGGCUUGUAUAUGGUUGAUUGGAUUGAUAUUAUUCUACAUGUGUGGAUGUGUUCGUUUGAUUAUUGUGAGACUUAAUUGGUGUAAUUAAAUAGGUUGCUUUUUUUUGUUUUUGUUUUUUUCUUGCGU